CCGAAUGGGGGAAAUGAAGACGGGACAGGUGUCUGUCUGCCUGCCUGGGGUAGAAAAGAGCACGAAGUGCUUGUCGAGUGCGCAAUGUGCCCAUGGUUGGCUUGAACAACACAAAUGAGUUGCCGCUGCCUUCAUCUGACCGACUGUUGGAGCGAGGGGAGGCGCACCAACGAGUAAAUCUUACGGAACUCAACUCAUUACUUCCCCUGAGCUGACGAUGCAGAAUUGCUUAGGUGUGGUCUAUGCUCUAUUUGUAACCACAAGCCGCCGGUAGUUGAGCGGUUUGGAUGCAAGAAAAAUCAACCCAGCCAUCAUCUUUGUGCCGCAAAAUUCAUCGCGGGACAUGGCCAGUCAACAGGCUGCCCUUCCACGCGGGAUUACAUUGACUUUGUAUGGGAACCCAUCGCGCAACUGUUUUUACAGUGAAUUAUUCCACUUCUGUCCUCAUACCAGUUAAAGACAAAAUGAUCAGCAGAUAGGAGGAAUCCCCAAAAUUCCAACAAGAUUCUUCAAAAAAGGUUAUUGGAGUCAUGAACACUGACUUUAAUUGAGGCAACCGAGGCCAGCAGUUCUUUGGCUGUUAUCCUGGGUUCCUUUGUGACCUCCUGAAUGAGUCGAGGCAUUGCUGUGCUCUUGCGGUCAGUUUCGUGUGCCGGCUGUUCUAUAAUUUGUUUUCUAGGUCAACUUGUCACCACCAUAAAACCUUAAUUAACUCUUUUGAUACGAUUGGUAACUGUCUAACUUCCAAUUUGAAAGAGCUCAAAAGUAAAACAUUUUCUGACCACAUUUUGAUGAGUGUGCAUAUUUUUUAUUCAUCUAUUGGGAAUAUUAAUGUAUUGUCUAAGGGGAAAACAUUUUUAAAAUGCUGCCUUGUUCUUGACAUGUAUUCCCAGAUGUUUAUGUUUUCUUUGUUUUUUGUUUUUUAAUGCAUCGACCAGUACAGCAGAGAGGGAGUCUGAUUUGCAAAAACAGCAGAAUAAUUGUCCUGGGACAGACGGAGUAGAAGUAAUGGUGCUUUACU